ACCGGAGCCGCACAGCUGGGACGGCGGGGCUUCGCCGCCGGAGCUUCUCACCCCGCGCUUCGUCCCUGGCCGCCGUGGGAGCGGGGAGGAAGGGCGGCCCCGGCACCUGCCGUGAGCUGCAAUGCAUGCUGCUUUCUCUACAAGACUAUAAGCUUCGAUAUUCUGAAGAGCAAAACUGAAAGAUGCCAUCCGAGAGGUGUCUCAGCGUUCAGGAAAUGCUGACAGGUCAGAGGCUUUGUCAGUCCAGCUCCCAUAACGAUGCUGUCCUAGCAGCCCUGAACCAACAAAGAAGUGAUGGCAUACUUUGUGAUAUCACCCUUAUUGCUGAAGAGCAGAAGUUCCAUGCACAUAAAGCAGUCCUGGCAGCCUGCAGUGACUACUUCCGAGCAAUGUUCAGUCUCUGCAUGGUUGAAAGCGAAGCUGAUGAGGUGAAUUUGCAUGGUGUCACAAGCCUCGGUUUAAAACAAGCCCUGGACUUUGCAUAUACAGGACAGAUCCUUUUGGAACCGGGGGUUAUACAGGAUGUCCUAGCAGCUGGGAGUCAUUUGCAGCUGCUGGAGCUUCUCAGUUUAUGUUCUCACUAUCUCAUUCAGGAAUUAAAUAGUUUUAAUUACUUGGACCUGUACAAGCUCGCGGACCUCUUCAACCUCACUCUGCUGGAGAAUGCAGUGGUUGACUUCUUAGUAAAACAUCUCUCUGAGCUAUUGAAGAGUCAUCCUGAAGAAGUUCUGGCACUCCCAUAUUGUCUCCUUCGAGAGGUUUUUAAAAGUGAUAGACUCACUUCUCUCAGUGAAGAACAAAUCUGGCAGCUGGCUGUGAGGUGGUUGGAACACAACUGCCGCUACCAGUACAUGGAUGAACUUCUGCAGUACGUCCGCUUUGGCCUUAUGGACGUGGACACGCUGCACACCGUAGCUCUGUCCCACCCUCUCGUCCAAGCUAGUGAAACGGCGACAGCACUUAUCAACGAGGCCUUGGCCUACCACCAGAGCAUCUAUGCACAGCCGGUGUGGCAAACCAGGAGGACAAAACCUCGCUUCCAGUCGGACACUCUUUACAUCCUGGGCGGCAAGAAACGCGAGAUCUGUAAAGUGAAGGAACUGCGCUACUUCAAUCCGGUGGACCAAGAGAACGUCCACAUCGCUGGGGUGGCCAACUGGAGCGAGCUGGCGCCCAUGCCCCUGGGGAGGAGCCACCACUGCGUUGCCGUCAUGGGAGACUUCCUGUUCGUGGCUGGCGGAGAGGCCGAGCACUCCACGGGCCGCAGCUGCGCCGUGAGGACUGCCUGUCGCUACGACCCCCGCAGCGACUCCUGGGCAGAGAUCGCUCCCAUGAAGAACUGUCGGGAACACUUUGUGCUGGGAGCGGUGGACGAGUACCUCUAUGCGGUCGGGGGCAGAAAUGAGUUGCGGCAGGUGUUACCCACAGUGGAACGCUAUUGCCCCAAGAAGAACAAGUGGACCUUUGUGCAGUCCUUUGAUCGGUCGCUCUCGUGCCAUGCGGGAUAUGUGGUGGAUGGACUUCUUUGGAUAUCAGGAGGAGUAACAAAUACCGCCCAGUACCAAAACAGGCUCAUGGUCUAUGAUCCUAAGCAGAAUAAGUGGCUGAGCCGAAGCCCGAUGUUGCAGAGGAGAGUGUAUCACUCCAUGGCUGCUGUGCAGAGGAAGCUUUACGUGUUAGGAGGGAAUGAUCUCGACUACAACAACGACCGGAUCCUGGUUCGGCACAUAGACUCCUACAGCAUAGACACUGACCAGUGGACACGUUGCAGCUUCAACAUGCUGACAGGUCAGAACGAGUCUGGAGUGGCUGUCCACAACGGCAGGAUAUAUUUAGUUGGCGGCUACUCGAUUUGGACAAACGAGCCUUUGGCGUGUAUCCAGGUGCUGGAUGUUAGCAAGGAAGGGAAGGAAGAGGUGUUCUAUGGGCCUACACUCCCCUUUGCUUCCAAUGGGAUAGCAGCAUGCUUUCUCCCAGCUCCUUAUUUUACCUGCCCCAACCUUCAGACUCUGCAAGUGCCUCACCACAGGAUGGGCACGCUGUGAGGCAAGGAACGUGCACUUCCUCAAGUCAGAAGCGGAGGGGGCCAAAGAAUUCCAACCCUGUGUAUCGAAGGAUUUCUCUGGAUCAGUGAGAAGAAUCAAUCCACACAGGCUGCUGCUUUACCUUCACACGUUUGUCUUAAGGACCUACAGGACACAUGGGGGUGUUUUGCUGCACCUGAAGUCAGGAAAGGCCACAUAGCCCUUGCCAGGUGUUGACUGUGGCAGAACAUUCAAGAGGAAGCGAUUAGACACCAGCACACUGCUAAUCUGUCUCAUUCUCCAGUUUCUGUAUCUCGUUUUGUCCAGCCUCUGCAAGGUGAGAUAAGAGUCUUUUAUAGGCCUCUCUGUUCAAAACAAAACACAACAACAAAAGAAUGAAACAUGUUACUUCAACAGUCUCACACAUCCUAGGAGUAAAAGCACAUCGUUCCCCCACAUAUUGUUUAUCUAUUGGGAUAUUAAAACACAACAACUUUCUUUGCCCCCCCCUUCCCCCCCAAUCUCUUCACCUGCUGUGAAUUUUCAGUGUGGCUAGAUUGGAAGAAGGGUAAGGAUUGCUCUGUUUAUGGCUGUAAGUGCAGUGAAGACGCCUAGAAGUCUGCUAGCUCAGUAAAACACUGUGAAAUUGAUUUAUUAUUUCUUUUAGGUUUUAAAACAUGGAGUUUCCAAGUCUCAGAUGAGAUUCAGGCCUCAUCAUGUUCUCUAUCUGAUUUCUGCAAAGAAACCUCUCUCUCUCUCUCUCUGUGACUCAUAUGCCAGCACAGUGAGGUGAGGCACUGGCUCUAGGGGUAGAGACUGGCAAGGACAGGUUUAGACCAUCAUCCUCAACAAAGGGCAAUGGCUGUCUUAACAUACAUGUGGAAUGCAGAAGGGAACUGUCAAGUGGGUUUUCCAUUCCAUUCCAUUCCAUUCCAUUCCAUUCCAUUCCAUUCCAUUCCAUUCUCUCCAACCUAGACAAUAUGUACCUAGAUGAGGUCACACCCAAAUUCAUCAUCUGAUCUAGGUGAACCUUCUUCUGGAGGGGGGUUGGACUAGAUGAUCUCUAAAGGUCCCUUCCAACCCCUACCAUUCUAUGAUUCUAUGGCUGUUAAAAGCACUGCCUCUGACAUUUAGGCCUAUUCUGCCUCUUUCCUGAAAUAUCAAGUAGAACAAACAAAGCUGCAGUUUUCAUACUAGUUCAUUGCAAUAACAACACUGGACAGCACCACUGUGAGCAUCUCAUCCCACUGCUGUGUUUCUUUUAUAUAUAUAUGUGGAUUUGGAGCUGAAUAAUGUUAUUUAGUGGCCAGAACUGAAGAGAGAACAUCAGGUAUUAGCCUUCUUAAACAACAUGUUCAUGGAACAUCUGCAAGCGUGUGUUUCAGGAAGCUCAGCCAACCUGUGCUUUCCUUCCUAUUUUGUAGGUAAAGGGAUGAGCUUUACAUAAUUAACUAUAUUUAAGAAAUGAUAAUUGGCUCUGAGCUACAUUAUCAAGAGGAUCAGAAGUAAAUAGUUUGAAAAACUUGACUAUAAUGGUACUUCAGUCUGACCUUGGGUGAAUUCCCUUAAACAAAAGCAAAUGUAGGGGAAACAAUAAACAGUGACUAAUCUAAUUACA